rnacentral:misc_RNA from 1 species
UCCGAGUUGACCCCGGCAGUCUCCUGCGAGUCCCCGCCAUUACGCGCUGGCAACACAUGACAAGGGUUGCGCUCGUUGCGGGACUUAACCCUGGAUCUCUCCAGGUAGCGCGGGAUGUCAAGGGUUGGUAAGGUUCUGCGCGUUGCUUCGAAUUAAACCACAUGCUCCACCGCUUGUGCGGGCCCCCGUCAAUCCCUUUGAGUUUUAAUCUUGCGACCGUACUCCCCAGGCGGGGCGCUUAAGGCGUUAGCUGCGCCACUGAGCAGCAAGCUGCCCAACGGCUAGCGCCCAUCGUUUACGGCGUGGACUAC